rnacentral:lncRNA from 1 species
CCUAACCUAAUGCUGGCCACCAAUAGGGCUAAACAGUGUUAGCAGGUACUGUCAGCAGGCCUCAGGCAGAAGCAGACAAGAAGGGUAAGAAGUAAAGGAGAGGGAGGAAAGGAGUUGAAAGAAUAAGAGAAUGAGGUGAAAGCUGAAGUCCCCACAGAGGGAAAUGCCACAAGACUAGGCCGUGCAACAUUUCCGCAGUGCUCCUCGCUACAAAGACAUUCCCCUAAGGCUGGUGGGCAACUCAACACUCAGCUCAGUACGUGGUCAGCUCGUCCUCCAUAGGAGCCUUAUGCCUUGGUGAGGAGAUCUCUGAAGAAAUUGCUGAUGAAAGUCCAACAGGCUCUUCCAGUUUGUCUGGUCGGUCACAUUUGCUGAAACCUGGAGGAAUUGUUAGUGGAAGCUCAACAGGCCUGACUCAGUCUGACUGUCCAUUCUUCUGGAAGCUGCAGAGAAAAGAAACCUGGAAACCUUAUAUGCUGACAAAAAGGGACACAAUUGGAUAUGAUGGUUAUUUUACCAAGGUUUUGAAAUGUCGUGCUUUCAAAUAUAAACAGACUGCUUUAAGGAAUCGAAGUUGACUUAUAGAGCCAA